rnacentral:rRNA from 1 species
UGUAUUUAUUAGAUAAAAAACCAAUGCCCUUCGGGGCUUUUCGGUGAUUCAUGAUAACUUUACGGAUCGCAUAGCCUUGCGCUGGCGACGGUUCAUUCAAAUUUCUGCCCUAUCAACUUUCGAUGGUAAGGUAUUGGCUUACCAUGGUUUCAACGGGUAACGGGGAAUUAGGGUUCGAUUCCGGAGAGGGAGCCUGAGAAACGGCUACCACAUCCAAGGAAGGCAGCAGGCGCGCAAAUUACCCAAUCCCGACACGGGGAGGUAGUGACAAUAAAUACUGAUACAGGGCUCUUUUGGGUCUUGUAAUUGGAAUGAGUACAAUUUAAACCUCUUAACGAGGAACAAUUGGAGGGCAAGUCUGGUGCCAGCAGCCGCGGUAAUUCCAGCUCCAAUAGCGUAUAUUAAAGUUGUUGCAGUUAAAAAGCUCGUAGUUGAAACUUGGGCCUGGCUGGCGGGUCCGCCUCACCGCGUGCACUCGUCCGGCCGGGCCUUCCUUCUGAAGAACCUCAUGCCCUUCACUGGGCGUGCUGGGGAACCAGG